rnacentral:rRNA from 1 species
GAUGAACGCUGGCGGCGUGCUUAACACAUGCAAGUCGAACGGAAAGGCUCCUGCUUGCAGGGGUACUCGAGUGGCGAACGGGUGAGUAACACGUGGGUGAUCUGCCCUGCACUUCGGGAUAAGCCUGGGAAACUGGGUCUAAUACCGGAUAGGACGAUGGUUUGGAUGCCAUUGUGGAAAGUUUUUCGGUGUGGGAUGAGCUCGCGGCCUAUCAGCUUGUUGGUGGGGUAAUGGCCUACCAAGGCGUCGACGGGUAGCCGGCCUGAGAGGGUGUACGGCCACAUUGGGACUGAGAGACGGCCCAGACUCCUACGGGAGGCAGCAGUGGGGAAUAUUGCACAAUGGGCGCAAGCCUGAUGCAGCGACGCCGCGUGGGGGAUGACGGCCUUCGGGUUGUAAACUCCUUUCGCUAGGGACGAAGCGCAAGUGACGGUACCUGGAGAAGAAGCACCGGCUAACUACGUG